GGCGAACGCUGGCGGCGUGCUUAACACAUGCAAGUCGAACGGAAAGGCCCUGCUUUUGUGGGGUGCUCGAGUGGCGAACGGGUGAGUAACACGUGAGUAACCUGCCCUUGACUUUGGGAUAACUUCAGGAAACUGGGGCUAAUACCGGAUAGGAGCUCCUGCUGCAUGGUGGGGGUUGGAAAGUUUCGGCGGUUGGGGAUGGACUCGCGGCUUAUCAGCUUGUUGGUGGGGUAGUGGCUUACCAAGGCUUUGACGGGUAGCCGGCCUGAGAGGGUGACCGGCCACAUUGGGACUGAGAUACGGCCCAGACUCCUACGGGAGGCAGCAGUGGGGAAUAUCGCACAAUGGGCGGAAGCCUGAUGCAGCAACGCCGCGUGCGGGAUGACGGCCUUCGGGUUGUAAACCGCUUUCGCCUGUGACGAAGCGUGAGUGACGGUAAUGGGUAAAGAAGCACCGGCUAACUACGUG
rnacentral:rRNA from 1 species